AUUGAACGCUGGCGGCAGGCCUAACACAUGCAAGUCGAGCGGAAGAAGGGAGCUUGCUCCUGCAUUCCGGGGCGGACGGGGGCGUAAUGCCAAGGAAUCUGCAUGGUCGUGGGGGAUGGCGUCCGGAAACGGGAGCUAAUACCGCAACCGUACAGCGGGAGAAAGUGGGGGAUCUUGGGAUCUCACGCUAUCAGAUGAGCCUAGGUCGGAUUAGCUAGUGGGUGGGGUAACGGCCUACCAAGGCGACGAUCCGUAACUGGUCUGAGAGGAUGAGCAGCCACACUGGAACUGAGACACGGUCCAGACUCCUACGGGAGGCAGCAGUGGGGAAUAUUGCACAAUGGGCGAAAGCCUGAUCCAGCCAUGCCGCGUGUAUGAAGAAGGCCUUCGGAUUGUAAAGUACUUUAAGCGGGGAGGAAGGGAAGUAAGUUAAUACCUUGCCUUAUUGACGUUACCAGCAGAAUAAGCACCGGCUAACUCCGUG
rnacentral:rRNA from 1 species